rnacentral:snRNA from 1 species
AUUGCUUCUUGGCCUUUGGGCUAAGAUCAAGUGUAGUAUUUGUUCUUAUUGGAAAGUAUUGACCAUCCUCACUGAACAUCAUUUGCUUGCAUCCUCU